GAUGAACGCUGGCGGCGUGCCUAAUACAUGCAAGUCGAGCGAACAGACGAGGAGCUUGCUCCUCUGACGUUAGCGGCGGACGGGUGAGUAACACGUGGAUAACCUACCUAUAAGACUGGGGUAACUUCGGGAAACCGGAGCUAAUACCGGAUAACAUGUUGAACCGCAUGGUUCAACAGUGAAAGACGGUUUUGCUGUCACUUAUAGAUGGAUCCGCGUCGCAUUAGCUAGUUGGUAAGGUAACGGCUUACCAAGGCAACGAUGCGUAGCCGACCUGAGAGGGUGAUCGGCCACACUGGAACUGAGACACGGUCCAGACUCCUACGGGAGGCAGCAGUAGGGAAUCUUCCGCAAUGGGCGAAAGCCUGACGGAGCAACGCCGCGUGAGUGAAGAAGGUCUUCGGAUCGUAAAACUCUGUUAUUAGGGAAGAACAAAUGUGUAAGUAACUAUGCACGUCUUGACGGUACCUAAUCAGAAAGCCACGGCUAACUACGUG
rnacentral:rRNA from 1 species